UGAUUAUAAAUAAUUUUUAUUUCGAAAGUCAAUAAUUUUCAUUCUCAUUCAAACAUAAAAAAAAAAGAUUGAAAUUGCCGCCGUUCGCCGGACCAAGAAUAACGCGCCGACGACGACUGCAUGAAACCCAUAAACCCUAUUGUUUGCAUUUCUAGCUAAAACCCAUGAUGAUCAAUUUUCACAGAACACCUGGGCGAGUGUGAAGAGGGAAAUAUGAAACCACCAACGAAGCCUCCUCAACUGUCUUUUUCUUCUCCUCCUCCUUCGUGUUCUUUUUUACAGAAACCUGUGGUUCCUCGUCUCUCUUUCUCCGGCGAGUUUGAUAGAAGAUAUAUUUGAUAUAUAUGCAAAUAUAAAUAUGAAAUAUGGUUUAUGAAAUGUGAUAGAUAUUGAAUUAUGGAUGUAUGUAUGAUGAUAUGAUAAUGAACUGUAAAUUGAUAUUGUAGGAUGAUCGGUUGAUCAGGGUUUGAUGAAGCGAUGAUCCACAGCUUGUUGAAGUGAAUUGAAGAUGAUUGAACUUGAAUCUGUGAUUCAAGUUGUUGUAUUGCGGAAGCGUUUGAAGAUUAGCAGUUGUAGUUGCAGAUUGAUCAGACAGAGUAUAACAGAGUCUGUAAUUGUAUUACAGAGAGUGUGGGUGUAUAUAAUCGUGUGUUAACUUAAACUAGGAUUAGAUAUGUUUAUAUAGAAGAACACCCAACGGCUAUGUUGGUUGGGUGUAUUUAAUUAUGGUAAUUAAUGUAUAUAGGAAUGUGUAAUAUGGAUUUGGGAAUUAAUAUAAGAUUGAAUAUUUGAUUGAUAUUUAAAUAUGAAAAGAUGGAAUAAGAAUGUGAAGAGUUGUGAUGAAAUAAGAGGGUGUUAAUGAUAAUUUUAUUAUAAUGUUAUAUGUGUGAUUUAUUUUAAGGUAGGGGUGUAUCUCUAAUAUCCUCCCUCAAAUCAAAACCGGUCAGGGUUUGAUUUGAAUAUAUGGGUGCAUUGGGGUGUUGAAGUGAAUUAAUUGGGUUUGAAUUCUUGGUGUGUAUAUCAAUUAGGUUUAGUUUUUGGAUUAGAUUUUUAAAUGCUGGACCACCCAAGGGUUUAGUGAAAAAAUCACCAAUAUUUUGUGUACUAGAAACGUGUCUUAGUGUAAUAUCUCCCGCUAAAACCUUGUCCCUCACCGUGUGAAGAUCGAUCUCUAUAUGCUUUGUUCGUUGGUGUGAUAUAGGGUUUCGUGCGAUCGCCUCUGCUGCCGUGCUGUCGGUGAAGAUACGUGGAGUCGGUGAUCGUCGUAUCUGGUAAACUCCUAUCUCAUGUAGUAGCAUUGUUAACCAAGUUAUUUCACAUGUAGUAUAGGCCAAUGCUCUGUACUCGGCUUCAGCCGAUGAUCUUGAUAUGGUUUGUUGUUUUUUUUAUUUCCAAGAUACUAGGGAAGUACCAAGGAAGAUGGCAAACCCCGAUGUUGAUCGUCUGGUGGUUGGGCAACUUGCCCAAUCCGAGUCAGAAAAAGCAGAUAUGUGGUCCAUUGAGGAUCCUGUGAAAUGCAACCCCACACCAGGUGAUCCUUUUAUGUAUUUUAAUACUCUGUGGGCAGCUUUCAUGUGAAUGUCUGUGGGUGUGGCCAUGUGCUGACUUAGAUAAGUCACAGCAUAUGAUAUGUCUGGCCUUGCGCAAGUUAAAUAAACUAACUUGCCAAUUAUGCUUCUAUAUUGCUGUGGGUUUCUAAUGGGGUUCCACAUGUCUCUGUUUUGUUUGACUGAAUUGGUGUUUUAUUAAUGUGGUUAUUUGGUUGUAUUAAUGUGUUGUUAAGUUUUUCUGUUUUAUAAUUGGAUAUUUGUUUUUGGCUAUUUGGAGUAUUAUUUGGUUUGCAUUGAGUUAGAUCAUAUUUUUCCAAUAGAUCUAAGGUGUAUUUUCUUUGCCCAAUGUAUAGGCCAUUUGGUGUUUUUGUGAAUUCAAGGCCUAGGAAAUAUUUGAGUUCUCCUAAGUCUUUUAUUUUGAAAGUUUCGCUUAGGUUUCCUUUUAAGGUAUUUAUUUUAUCUAUGUUAUUUCCUGUUAUUAACAGGUCAUCAACAUAGGCUAAUACUAUUGUAGUAUCUUUAUCAUCAAUGUUUAUGAACAGUGAGUAAUCUGUCUUACAUUGUUUGUACCCAAAAUUGGAUAGAGCCUUUGACAGAGUUUGAUACCACACUCUGGAGGCUUGUUUUAGGCCAUAUAGUGACCUGUUCAGUCUGCAGACUGAAUUUGGUGGUGAGUCUUUAGGUAUGUCUAGACCCAAGGGAAUUUUCAUAUAUAUAGUUUCUUCUAGAGUUCCAUGUAGAAAGGCAUUUUGUACAUCCAUUUGAUGCAUGUGCCACUUCUUGGAUACUCCUAUUGCUAAAAUGACUCUGAGUGUUGUCAUUUUGGAGACAGGGGCAAAGGUUUCUGUGAAAUCUAUCCCCUCAAUUUGGUUGUAUCCUUUUGCAACCAAUCUUGCUUUGUGUUUUUCAACAGUUCCAUCACUGUUGAAUUUGGUUUUGUAAACCCAUUUGCAGCCAAUUGGUUUCUUUCCUUCAGGAAUGCUAAUGAUUGUCCAGGUUUUGUUGUUUUCAAGAGCCUCAAGCUCUUGUUUCAUAGCAUUGUUCCAUUUGGCAUGUUUGGAGGCUUCUUUGUAUGAGCCUGGGUCAUUGUUGGUUUCUAUUGUCGUGAUGAAUGCAUAGUGUUCUGGAGUGAAAUUUUGGUAUGAGAUUUCUUUCCCUAUUGGGUAUCUAGAUGAUGCCAGUUGUAGUUUGUAGUCUUUUAGGUAUGAAGGCAUUUUUCUAGUCCUUUUUGAUGUUCUGUUAGUGCCCUCAUCGUCUGUUGGUGUUGGUGUUUCAUUUAUUUCUUCCUCUUCUUCUGACUCAUAUUGUUCAGUGAGUUCCAUUGAAGGAGGAAUGUGGGGAAUUUGAGGAAUUAUCUCCUCAUCUUUCUCUGACUCAUAUUGGUCAUGUGAGGGAGUUAUGUAUGUAUUUGUUUCUUCUAAAGGUUCUUUAUUGAAGAAGUCUUCCUCAUGUUGUUUAGGUUCUUCUUGGAAUGGGAAGAUUUCUUCAUGGAAAGUGACAUCUCUGUUUGUAAAGAUUUCUUGGUUUGAUGAAUUGAGUAUUUUAUAACCCUUUCUUUGGAAAGAGUAUCCUAGAAAAAUUCCCUUAAUUGCUCUGUUUUCGAAUUUUGUUUUCUUCUUGUUGUUUGUAGCAUAGCAAAGACAUCUGAAUACUCUUAGAAUAGAGAGGUUUGGUUGCUCAUUAAACAACCUGUAGUAAGGGGUGUCAUUGUCUUGGACAACAGCUGGGGUUCUAUUUAUUAGGAAUACAGCUGUUAGGAUGCAUUCCCCCCAAUAUUUAAGGGGAAUGUUGGACUGAAUCAUAAGCGAUCUGGCCACUUGUAGUAUAUGCUGGUGUUUUCUUUCAACUCUCCCAUUUUGUUGAGGAGUGUAGGGACAUGACAGCUGAUGUGCUAUUCCAUUUGUUUUUAUAGUGUUCUGGAAUUCUUUUGACAGGAAUUCUGUUCCAUUAUCUGUUCUUAUGGUUUGGAUAGUUGUUUGGUGUUGAUUUUUAACAUCCAAAAUGAACUGUUUGAAUUUUCCCAUUGUCUCAGCUUUGUUUGUCAUUAGGAAGGCCCAGGUAGCCCUUGAAUAGUCAUCUACUAUAGUCAGGAAAUAGUUGUUUCCUUGAUGUGUAGGUGUAUGGAAUUUGCCCCAAAUAUCUAGGUGAAUAAGCUGAAAGCAUUUUGUAGUUUUAUUUGUGCUAGAAUUGAAAGAUAACCUUGUUUGUUUUGACAAAGGACAUGUAUUACAAAAUUUUGAAAAAAUUUUAGGAAUACAAUUGUUCAAUAAAUGUAAAUGGUAGAAUCUAGAAGGUGCAGGGUGUCCUAGCCUUCUGUGCCAAAUUUCUUCAUCUUUAGAUUCCCUUUGUUGGCUAUGAUUGGCCUGGGGUGAUUCUAGCUUUAGUAUGUAUAGGCCAUCCUUCUUCUCACCACCACCAAUCUGGUUUCCCUGUUGGUCCUGUAUGGAACAGAAAGUAGGGUGGAAGGUGAAUAAGCAAUUUAUAUCUUUUGUUAAUUUGCUUACAGACAGAAGGUUUACUGAGAAGGAUGGUAUUUUUAAAACAUUGUGUAAAGUGAUGUCUUUUGACAGGGUUGCAGAGCCACUUGAUGAUACUCUUGUGGUUUGGGAAUUUGGAAGAUGUAUGUUAAUUGGGCAUAGGAGUGUUUUCAUGUUUUGUAAUUUGGUGUUGGGAGAACACAUGUGAUCUGUUGCCCCUGUGUCAAUGAUCCACUGAUCAUUUUGUGGUUCAGUGUGUGGUUUUGUGUGUGUAUUUAAAGAGUAAUGAAAACAAGUGUUAUUUUUAUAAAGUAACUUACCAGAUGAGCUUCCAGAAGCCAUGUGAGCCUGACUCUGGUUCCCUUUGGAGAAUCCUCCUAGUAUGUCUAUUAGCUCUUCUCUGGUGAUGAACUUGUUUUCAGUUUUAUCUUCAUUUGAUUUUUGUCCAUCUUCUUCUUGUUGUGUACUGGCAUUGUUGCUUUGGUAUUUGCCUUUGAAUCCUUUGUUGGGUUUGCCAUUGUAAUUUUUCUUUCCAACAAAUUUUGUGUUUUCCUUCUUUUUGUUGAAAUCUACCCCAUGUAGCCCAUGUCCUGGUGGAAACCCAUGCUCAUAGAAGCAUGUUUCCAGAGUGUGGUUGUGUUUCUUGCAUCUUGUGCAGUAGGGUUUGGAAUCCUCACUCUGAAUGUGUGUCUUUACCUGAGGGUUUUUGGUUUGUACUACCAUAGCGUUGCCUUCCUCAGGGUAUACACACUCCCUUUGAGUUUCUUCUUGUAGAACCAUGCUGAAAGCAUCUUCUACUGAAGGUGGAGUUUUCUUCUUUAAAAUCUGUCCUCUGAUGGUCAUGAAGGAGUCAUUCAAACCAGUUGUGAAGGUGAUUAACCUUUCCAGAUUUUCUUUUGCUAUGCAGCUAGCAUUUCUACAACAUUCAAAAAUUUGAUUGUUAUCUAAUUCAUUCCAGAGUCCCUGUAGUUUGGCAUAGUAGUUGCUUACAGAUUCACUGCCUUGAGUGCAUAGUGCAAUUUGCCUUUUCAGUUGAGAGAUCACCAGGGAGUUUGCUCUGCUAUAUUUCUGUUUAAGAUUUUGCCAUAAGAUAUUGGCAUCCUUUAUGAAGAUUGUGCUGCUUUUGAUUUCCUUGGAGCAGAUGUUUAAUAUCCAUGCAGUGACCAGGUCAUUGCAUCUGAUCCAGGGUAUGAAAUAGUUAUCUGUGUUGUUUGCUGGUUUUGUGAUGGUUCCAUUUAUGAAACCUAGUUUGUUUUUGGUGGAUAGGGAUCUUUGAAUCUCAACCACCCAUGUUUGGUAGUUUGAUCCACUGAGUGGAGUUACUACCAGGCUUGUAUUGGGAUUAUCACUCCCUGAAAUGUAGUAUGGAUUUCCAUCUUUAAUUUUGAAUUCAUCAUUCUUUGUUGUCAUUUUCAGAUAAGGCUUAGAGGAGAAAACAAAGACUGAUGAGAAGGCACACUAGGAACCUGAGGAGAAUGAGGGAGUUGAAAAAACAGAAUAUGAAUGUGGAAGCUCUGGAGUAUUUUGGCGAUGUGGAAGAUGUAUACUCUUUCUCUGAUUCUGAGUAUGAGAGACCUGUUCCUGUGUGGGAUAUUGACUUUCCCUCAGAUAGUGAUGGUGAAAAUGGUGUGGUGUGUCAGGAGUACUAUUAUGAUUUUGAUAGUGAUGAUUCUAUGCCUGACUAUGAGAUAUGGAGUGAUCCAGAUGUGGGCCUGAAUUCUGAGGGAGAGAAGGCAAAUGGUGUUUUGGCAGUAGAGAUUCCACUACCUCCUCGUCCUCCACAAGAAUUCUUCGACAAUAUCUGGAGAAACAGGAUUUUUUGUGAUGAUUGACAAUGCUGUUGUGUUUUUAAAGAAGAAAGAAAUAGAGUUUUGUGUUUUUGAAACAGUUUGUAGUGCUGUUUCUUUUCUUUUUGUAGAAAGAGAAAAAAAAAAAAAGGAUUUUAGAAUAGAAAGAAUAUUUGAUAUUUUGAUCAGGAUUGAACCUUCUCUGAUACCAUGAUAGAAGAUAUAUUUGAUAUAUAUGCAAAUAUAUGCAAAUAUAAAUAUGAAAUAUGGUUUAUGAAAUGUGAUAGAUAUUGAAUUAUGGAUAUAUGUAUGAUGAUAUGAUAAUGAACUGUAAAUUGAUACUGUAGGAUGAUCGGUUGAUCAGGGUUUGAUGAAGCGAUGAUCCACAGCUUGUUGAAGUGAAUUGAAGAUGAUUGAACUUGAAUCUGUGAUUCAAGUUGUUGUAUUGCGGAAGCGUUUGAAGAUUAGCAGUUGUAGUUGCAGAUUGAUCAGACAGAGUAUAACAGAGUCUGUAAUUGUAUUACAGAGAGUGUGGGUGUAUAUAAUCGUGUGUUAACUUAAACUAGGAUUAGAUAUGUUUAUAUAGAAGAACACCCAACGGCUAUGUUGGUUGGGUGUAUUUAAUUAUGGUAACUAAUGUAUAUAGGAAUGUGUAAUAUGGAUUUGGGAAUUAAUAUAAGAUUGAAUAUUUGAUUGAUAUUUAAAUAUGAAAAGAUGGAAUAAGAAUGUGAAGAGUUGUGAUGAAAUAAGAGGGUGUUAAUGAUAAUUUUAUUAUAAUGUUAUAUGUGUGAUUUAUUUUAAGGUAGGGGUGUAUCUCUAAUAGAGUUUCUUCAUUAUCGGAGAUCUGCGAGGAGCUCUUAACCUUGGAUGACGAUGAAAAGCAGUGGAAUAAACCCAUGACUUUCUCUUCGAUCGACCUGUGAAGACGGUGAAUGGAUGUUUUAUUUUUAUGGCGAAAACAUAUAUAUAGGCACCAAUUUUUUCCUUCUUCCUAAUUUGCCCUUUAUUUUAUUUUUUUAUUAAUAGAAUAGGUUGGCAGUUCAUUUCAGCCUUACAAUUUUUUAAAUUAAAUAUGGACCGUCCAAAUUUAAUGUAAAAAAUAAAAAUACAAAAUAUAAAUUUAAAAGACGAGAGAAAAAACAUAUUGACUCUCUUUGUAACUAAAUACGUUGUUUCAGGAGGUUAGUCUUUCAUACUUCCAUCAUAAAAGUUUUUCACUACAAAAAACAUGACUAAUUAAUUACAAAAGCCGUGACUAAUUAAGCCCGUGGCUAUUUUGAAAAUUUAGCCACGGAUUCUACUAUCCGUGGCUAGUUUGGUGGCUAAACUUUUCGGAAAAAAAUUCUUCCAUUUUUUCACUCUAUAUUUUGCACUAUGGAUCAAAGGGUGACAAUAUUUUGUAACAUUCUGGAUUAAACGAAAAAACUGAUGUUCUUAAUGAUCGACUUAAGCAUUACUUCAAGAGGUCUACUAACGUGUUGUCUGUAUCUUUUGUUUUUUCUGUCCAUAUUUGUCACGAUAAACACUCAAUAACGCGUAUUUCAUAGUACGUAGUUCUCAAGGGAGAGAGUGGUGUGUAAAUUUUUGCACAGUCUCUGUAAGACCCUUUAAACUAAUAUCUGGACUAGAUUAGGCGAAAACUUAAAUAUUCAUUAUUUUCCGAAAUUCAGGUGUCUAGCCAACGAAAUUAGAAAAAACUUAAAAUAAGAACAGUUGAAGAAGAAAAAAAUAACUUCUAAAUUUUUCUUCCAAAUUGUAUAUAGACAACUUGCACUUUCCAAUUUAUUAAUUUUCAAAUGAAAUUUACUUGGAUCUCAAGUCAUCAUUCAAAAGAGUUAUGAAAUUUACUUGGAUGUCAAGUCAUCAUUUAAAAACGUUUUGUGAAAGGAACAGUCAUCGAUCGAUCGAAAACUUGGCGACAAAGGAAAAUGCAAUGAGCCAAGCAGGUCAACACCUACAUCAACUUGUUAGUAGUUUAUUAAAUUAAUUAGCAGUGAAAACAAAAACAUACUUAUAAUUUGCUUUUGAUUUUUUAUUUCUGCCCAAAACUGAAUUUUUGAUGACGGAUUUCUGGUAUCAAAAGACCGUCAUACAAUGUCUUUUUUUUUGUAGUGAUGGGUUAGAAUAUUUGAGACUCAGAAGCCUUUCAACCCUACUAAUAGUCUGCCAAUCCAGCGACCAGAGACCCAGAAGCUUAUUAAAAGAUCGAGCUUAGAGGGAUCCUAAUCAAGCUUUGACAUUAGCCUUAUUCUAAUGAAAUUUAAUUGCUUCAAAAAAAAAAUAGUGAGUGACUGAACAAUUAGUAUGAGAAUGAAUGAUUGAAGACCUUCUAAUCAUUGGUGAAUCUGACGUGAAAAUUGUAUCGGAUAAUGUAAAAAAAUUUACAUCUGAGUGAUAUACCAGAGUCACAUAAUAUAUUAUCGGUUACAUCGUGGUAUAAAUUAAAUAAAAAUUACGUACACAACCAUACUCAACCUUCAAAACAAUUAAUAGUUAUUUUUGUUGAAUCGUGAUCCGAAACUAUAAGAGAGUUAAUAGUUAUUUUUCGCGUUUUAUAGAUUUUUUUGGUAAACUCAAAAAAGUCCGUCAAAUAUUAACCGUUCAUUUCUAAAUAAAAGAGUGUGAGCCUAAAAAUAAAAUAAAAAACAGAAUGGACGGUUGUGAGGAUUUAAUCAUUUUUUUCAAAAUGUGAGGUCAAGAUCACACGGAUUCUUCUGAAACUUUCUUCUAAAAAUAUAAUUAGGAUUAAAUCAACAUGAUUAAAAUAUAAUACGGAUGAUAAUAAAUAAUUUUUAUUUCGAAAGUCAAUAAUUUUCAUUCUCAUUCAAACAUAAAAAAAAAAGAUUGGAAUUGCCGCCGUUCGCCGGACCAAGAAUAACGCGCCAACGACGACUGCAUGAAACCCAUAAACCCUAUUGUUUGCAUUUCUAGCUAAAACCCAUGAUGAUCAAUUUUCACAGAACACCUGGGCGAGUGUGAAGAGGGAAAUAUGAAACAACCAACGAAGCCUCCUCAACUGUCUUUUUCUUCUCCUCCUCCUUCGUGUUCUUUUUUACAGAAACCUGUGGUUCCUCGUCUCUCUUUCUCCGGCGAGUUUCUUCAUUAUCGGAGAUCUGCGAGGAGCUCUUAACCUUGGAUGACAAUGAAAAGCAGUGGAAUAAACCCAUGACUUUCUCUUCGAUCGACCUGUGAAGACGGUGAAUGGAUGUUUUAUUUUUAUGGCGAAAACAUAUAUAUAGGCACCA
rnacentral:lncRNA from 1 species